UCCCUGGUGGCUCAGACGGUAAAACGUCUGCCUGCAAUGUGGGAGACCCGGGUUCGAUUCCUGGGUCAGGGAG
rfam:TPA: Bos taurus chromosome 29, whole genome shotgun sequence.